UAACGCUGAGAUACGAUGUCGAGCUACUACGGUAGUGAAGUCAUUGAUGCCAUGCUUCCAGGAAAAGCCUCUAAGCUUCAGAUUGUAAGGAAUCGUACCCCAAACCGACACAGGUGGUCGGGUAGAGAAUACCAAGGCGCUUGAGAGAACUCGGGUGAAGGAACUAGGCAAAAUGGUACCGUAACUUCGGGAGAAGGUACGCUCUUAUCAGUGAAGUCCCUUGCGGAUGGAGCAGACGAGAGUCGCAGAUACCAGGUGGCUGCAACUGUUUAUUAAAAACACAGCACUGUGCAAAAUCGUAAGAUGACGUAUACGGUGUGACGCCUGCCCGGUGCCGGAAGGUUAAUUGAUGGGGUUAGACUUCGGUCGAAGCUCUUGAUCGAAGCCCCGGUAAACGGCGGCCGUAACUAUAACGGUCCUAAGGUAGCGAAAUUCCUUGUCGGGUAAGUUCCGACCUGCACGAAUGGCGUAAUGAUGGCCACGCUGUCUCCACCCGAGACUCAGUGAAAUUGAAAUCGCUGUGAAGAUGCAGUGUACCCGCGGCUAGACGGAAAGACCCCGUGAACCUUUACUACAGCUUGGCACUGAACAUUGAACCUACAUGUGUAGGAUAGGUGGGAGACUAUGAAAUUGCGUCGCUAGAUGUGAUGGAGUCGUCCUUGAAAUACCACCCUUGUAGUUUUGAUGUUCUAACGUUGGUCCCUGAAUCGGGAUUACGGACAGUGCCUGGUGGGUAGUUUGACUGGGGCGGUCUCCUCCCAAAGAGUAACGGAGGAGCACGAAGGUGGGCUAAACACGGUUGGACAUCGUGUGGUUAGUGCAAUGGCAUAAGCCCGCUUGACUGCGAGAAUGACAAUUCGAGCAGGUGCGAAAGCAGGUCAUAGUGAUCCGGUGGUUCUGAAUGGAAGGGCCAUCGCUCAACGGAUAAAAGGUACUCCGGGGAUAACAGGCUGAUACCGCCCAAGAGUUCAUAUCGACGGCGGUGUUUGGCACCUCGAUGUCGGCUCAUCACAUCCUGGGGCUGAAGUCGGUCCCAAGGGUAUGGCUGUUCGCCAUUUAAAGUGGUACGCGAGCUGGGUUUAGAACGUCGUGAGACAGUUCGGUCCCUAUCUGCCGUGGGCGUUGGAAAAUUGAAAGGGGCUGCUCCUAGUACGAGAGGACCGGAGUGGACGAACCUCUGGUGUUCGGGUUGUCAUGCCAAUGGCAUUGCCCGGUAGCUAAGUUCGGAAUCGAUAACCGCUGAAAGCAUCUAAGCGGGAAGCGAGCCUUGAGAUGAGUUUUCCCUGGCACUAUAAGUGUCCUAAAGGGUUGUCGUAGACUACGACGUUGAUAGGCAGGGUGUGUAAGUGCUGCGAGGCAUUGAGCUAACCUGUACUAAUUGCCCGUGAGGCUUAACCAUACAACACCCAAGGGGUUU
rnacentral:rRNA from 2 species